GUCCCUUCGGGGACAUCUGAUAAAAUUGGAACGAUACAGAGAAGAUUAGCAUGGUCCCUGCGUAAGGAUGACACGCACAAAUCGAGAAAUGCCCCUCGAAUUG
rnacentral:snRNA from 1 species